UACGUAGGGACCAAGCGUUGUUCGGAUUUACUGGGCGUAAAGGGCGCGUAGGCGGCUUGACAAGUCACUUGUGAAAUCUCCGGGCUUAACUCGGAAAGGUCAACUGAUACUGCGGGGCUAGAGUGCAGAAGGGGCAACUGGAAUUCUCGGUGUAGCGGUGAAAUGCGUAGAUAUCGAGAGGAACACCUGCGGCGAAGGCGGGUUGCUGGGCAUGAUCUGACGCUGAGGCGCGAAAGCGUGGGGAGCAAACAGG
rnacentral:rRNA from 1 species